CCUACGGGGUGCAGCAGUGAGGAAUAUUGGUCAAUGGACGAGAGUCUGAACCAGCCAAGUAGCGUGAAGGAUGACUGCCCUAUGGGUUGUAAACUUCUUUUAUAUGGGAAUAAAAUGUCCCACGUGUGGGAUUUUGUAUGUACCAUAUGAAUAAGGAUCGGCUAACUCCGUGCCAGCAGCCGCGGUAAUACGGAGGAUCCGGGCGUUAUCCGGAUUUAUUGGGUUUAAAGGGAGCGUAGGUGGAUUGUUAAGUCAGUUGUGAAAGUUUGCGGCUCAACCGUAGAAGUGCAGUUGAAACUGGCAGUCUUGAGUGCAGUAGAGGUGGGCGGAAUUCGUGGUGUAGCGGUGAAAUGCUUAGAUAUCACGAAGAACUCCGAUUGCGAAGGCAGCUCACUGUACUGCAACUGACACUGAGGCUCGAAAGUGUGGGUAUCGAACAGGAUUAGAUACCCGAGUAGUC
rnacentral:rRNA from 1 species